ACAAUGGCGCGUACAGAGGGCUGCGAGACCGUGAGGUGGAGCGAAUCCCUUAAAGCGCGUCUCAGUUCGGAUUGGGGUCUGCAACUCGACCCCAUGAAGUCGGAGUCGCUAGUAAUCGCAGAUCAGCAACGCUGCGGUGAAUACGUUCCCGGGCCUUGUACACACCGCCCGUCACGUCAUGAAAGUCGGUAACACCCGAAGCCGGUGGCCUAACCCUUGUGGAGGGAGCUGUCGAAGGUGGGAUCGGCGAUUGGGACGAAGUCGUAACAAGGUAGCCGUACCGGAAGGUGCGGCUGGAUCACCUCCUUU
rnacentral:ncRNA from 1 species